UGUCGCCUGUCAUCAGGAGCUCUGUCAUGGCUGUGAGCAGGGUGAUGUCUUCAGCACACCAAUCCGUUUCAUCAAGCAUAGGGGACAGAUGGGCUUCCUUCUCGGGCACACUCAUGGGCAACAGUGGGACAAAAUGGUUAGGACUCCAUAUUAUCCCUGGCUUGCUAGCAUUACAUCUAUGACAUUGGCAUAAGCAUUACAGCUUGAUGAUUGCAACAGCAGGAUCUUUCUCAAUGCGAGGCAUGACUUUCCUGUUGAUAACAUCUCGAACUGUGGCAGAUCCCAAUUCUGGAUAUACUGAUUGUAUGGGGCAACCCAAUACACUUGACAUCGCACAGAGUUCCCACAUUCCAAGGCAUUUUCAUGAGCAAAGGCAAAAAAGCUUCCUGCACGUGGCAGGCAGUUGCCAUCUGCGGUGGUGCAGAGAAGAUAAAGACAACGUGCAGCAUAAUCGGAUGGUAUCAGUUUAAGGGCCAGCUGGUCAAUAGGACGACUCACACUCAGUAUAGACACGGAGUCUGCCAUUCCCUGGAUAAGGUUGCACACAAGACUCGACCAAACGAUCGAAGAAACCCUGGUAGUUGGGUCCAUCCAUGGUACACCGACAAAAAGUGUGACAUCAAAAUGUCAAACAUCACGACCGCAACAAUUGUAUGGCCAAUUUUAUUCAGCAACCAAGCUUAUUAAAAAAAAUUGGUCACGUGUCCAAGGGUAAAGCAUCUUUUCCCCCUUAAAUCACUUUGACAACUGCUCCUACUCAUGAUUUGAUUUUUAUGAGCAAAAAUUCAGUGUUGCGGUGGUGACAUUUGACAUAAAUUGUCAAACAUCACCGCCGCAACAUAUCGAAUCAUUACAGGCUUAAUUGAUCCGAAAUUGAGAGAAUGAUGCUGUUGUGUCGGAGGGGCAAAUCUUAUUCAGCCAUCAAUUCAUUAUGACAACCACUCGUGCUCUUAUAAUGGUUUUUAUUAAAAAAAUUAAAAUUUUUUUUUGUCAAACACCACCACAGCAGUUUGAUAAAUUUGUCAGAUUAUAUUAUCCAAAUGGAGAGAAUUGUGUUCUUAGUCCAAGCCAAAAUGCUUUAUUUUCACAUCAAUUCACAAUGAAAAUCUCUCCUGGUCUUGAUUUGAUUUUUAUGAAAGGAAAAGUAGUGUUGCGGUGGUGAUUUUUGACAUCAAACAAGGGAAACUAGGAUCAACUACCUCUUGAGUUGCCCUGGAAUGACUUAAUACUGUGAAUUUCUGGGAUUGACAAAUUGAGAAUUACUUGCAUCAUCAGCAUUGGAAUUAUUAAGAAUGAAUGGUAGAAGAUAUAGGCCACAAGACCACUAUAAGACGACAAGGAUCCCUUAUUUUGAACCCGAUAUUGACCAUAAAUAAUCCACAUGGUCUCCAAUGAACACAUUACAAUAAUUAGAUUUUUGUGUAUUAUUUGAAAAUAAAACAUUUCUAUUAUAAAAAAAAUUAUUUAAAUAAAAAUUUGAGAAUACUCAC